rnacentral:lncRNA from 1 species
UCAGAUUAGCAUUUUGGCACAUUUUUCAUCGCAAAUCGCAAUAACAACCCGUGUAGCAAUACACGGUGCGCAGAAAUGUUGUCGCAGCUCGUGCCAAUAAUUCAUUCAUCACCAGCUACUCCUCAAAAUUCGACUCACUCUUUUAUUUUAAACAAAACAAAAUCCCCUCCUUCCUUUCUAGAUUUCAUAAUCCAAUUCAUUUGCAACAAAAUAC